AUUGAACGCUGGCGGCAGGCCUAACACAUGCGAGUCGAACGGUAACAGGAAGAAGCUUGCUUCUUUGCUGACGAGUGGCGGACGGGUGAGUAAUGUCUGGGAAACUGCCUGAUGGAGGGGGAUAACUACUGGAAACGGUAGCUAAUACCGCAUAACGUCGCAAAACCAAAGAGGGGGACCUUCGGGCCUCUUGCCAUCGGAUGUGCCCAGAUGGGAUUAGCUAGUAGGUGGGGUAACGGCUCACCUAGGCGACGAUCCCUAGCUGGUCUGAGAGGAUGACCAGCCACACUGGAACUGAGACACGGUCCAGACUCCUACGGGAGGCAGCAGUGGGGAAUAUUGCACAAUGGGCGCAAGCCUGAUGCAGCCAUGCCGCGUGUAUGAAGAAGGCCUUCGGGUUGUAAAGUACUUUCAGCGGGGAGGAAGGGAGUAAAGUUAAUACCUUUGCUCAUUGGCGUUACCCGCAGAAGAAGCACCGGCUAACUCCGUG
rnacentral:rRNA from 1 species